AUUGAACGCUGGCGGCAGGCCUAACACAUGCAAGUCGAGCGCGCGGCGGACGGGUGAGUAAUGUAUGGGGACUGCCCGAUAGAGGGGGAUAACUACUGGAAACGGUAGCUCAUAUCGCAUACUAUCGGAUAACCCCUAUGGGGUUGGCUAGUAGGUGGGGUAUUGGCUCACCUAGGCGACGCUCCCUAGCUGGUCUGAGAGGAUGAUCAGGCACACUGAGACGGCGAAGCGGCCCAGACUCCUACGGGGGGAGCAGUGGGGAAUAUGGCACAAUGGGCGCAAGCCUGAUGCAGCGACGCUGCGUGGGGGAUGAAGGCUUUCGGGUUGUAAACCUCUUUCGCUAUCGAACGGGUAGGUGGAGAAGAAGCGCCGGCUAACUACGUGCCAGCAGCCGCGGUAAUAC
rnacentral:rRNA from 1 species